rnacentral:rRNA from 1 species
UACGUAGGGCGCAAGCGUUGUCCGGAAUUAUUGGGCGUAAAGAGCUCGUAGGCGGCCUGUUACGUCUGCUGUGAAAUCCCGGGGCUUAACCCCGGGCGUGCAGUGGAUACGGGCAGGCUGGAGGCAGGCAGGGGAGAACUGAAUUCACGGUGUAGCAGUGAAAUGCGUAGAUAUCGUGAGGAACACCAGAGGCGAAGGCGGUUACCUGGACAGUUACUGACGCUCAGGCACGAAAGCGUGGGGAGCAAAAGGG